AGUCGAGCGAACCCUUCGGGGUUAGCGGCGGACGGGUGAGUAACGCGUGGGAAUGUGCCCUUCUCUACGGAAUAGUCCUGGGAAACUGGGGGUAAUACCGUAUACGCCCUUUGGGGGAAAGAUUUAUCGGAGAAGGAUCAGCCCGCGUUGGAUUAGGUAGUUGGUGGGGUAAUGGCCUACCAAGCCUACGAUCCAUAGCUGGUUUGAGAGGAUGAUCAGCCACACUGGGACUGAGACACGGCCCAGACUCCUACGGGAGGCAGCAGUGGGGAAUCUUAGACAAUGGGGGCAACCCUGAUCUAGCCAUGCCGCGUGAGUGAUGAAGGCCUUAGGGUUGUAAAGCUCUUUCAGCUGGGAAGAUAAUGACGGUACCAGCAGAAGAAGCCCCGGCUAACUCCGUGCCAGCAGCCGCGGUAAUACGGAGGGGGCUAGCGUUGUUCGGAAUUACUGGGCGUAAAGCGCACGUAGGCGGACUGGAAAGUUGGGGGUGAAAUCCCGGGGCUCAACCCCGGAACUGCCUUCAA
rnacentral:rRNA from 1 species